AUCACUAAAAGGUAAAAACAGCCAUUUCAAUGACACAUACUACUAACUUUUAAUAAUCUCAGCAGGAGUUUUAUAUCCUCCAUGACAGCUUAAUUUAUCUUAAUUAUAAUACCAGGCCCUAGUUACCAUGUUUCCCUUAUUUACAAAUGUCUCAAAAUCCAUUUAAACAUUUGGGAGAGAAUAAUCAGAACCCUAGAAAAAUGCAGCCAAGAUUUUCAUAUUUAAAAAUAUACCACAACAGUUUUGCUCAAGUGUUUGCCACAUAACCUGAUAUUUUCCCUACCUGUCAGUGACUCAGUAAAUAAGUUUAGAAACAUGUUCUGAAUUCCCACUUUUUAGCAUUGUUUUGUAUGUCAAGAGUAACUCUGCAAGCUGUCCUCUAGGAAACUGAAACACAAACAUAAAAUAGAGACCAUACUGGAAGUAUUUCAUUCAAAACAGAAAUCAAGAUAUACUGCAGCUCAAGUUACACUGCUUUUUGUAAGUGCAUUUUGGCUUUUACGAAUAACUUAGUAAUUCUGACUUACUGAAGAACAGUAAACAUUGGGUAUAGUCUGGAAGUAACAGCAAUUUUAGUGUCAAGUCUCAAAAUAAAUGAGUCGCUUUUGUUGGCCUCUCUUUCCUCCAUAUCUCAGUAUUUAAAGACUGGCCCCUGACCUUCUCAGCUGGGGGCAAGAGGACUGCAAACAGUCUUACAUUUCUGAACAGAAAGUGACCAAUACUUUCCUUCACUUAUUCCUGUUAAGAACAGGCUGGUUACUAAAUAAAUAAAGAGCGGGGGAGGGAGUGGAAAUCAGUGCCUAAAAUCCCUCAUUAGAAGUCACAUCUACCAGAGAAUGAAGUGUCGUGGCAGGGCAGUGACAUUAAGGGCUGCUCUUAAUGUCUGAUCCUAAAAAAAAAAUGGAUUUCUGUGUGUCAUUGCCCAAUUUUAUAUGCCUUGGGAUGAAAGCCAGUAAUCAGGAUUUUCCCCAUGGUCUCUCAUCUAAACUAACAAAUGAUAAAAUCUAAACUAGCUCAUAGCCAUCAAGUUUUGUGCUGCUCCAUGUGUCACCUUAUGCAAAUUAAUGGUCUAAAUUGCAUAUUUACAGAUAUAAAUUUCCCUGCAGCUGUGAACUCCAGCUCUGAAUAAAUUGUAUGGAUUUAGUUCUCAUUGUGUAGUCGGGGUGUAGUUUUUCACCGUAGCUAUGUUGCUCUAACCCCAUAGUGUAGACGUAGACCACAGCAAUGGAAAGGGUUUUUCUGGACCUCCCUAAGCACCAGUAGGUAAGUCACCGGAAGCAUUCUUCCAUCGACCAAGCUGCAUCUACACCAGGGGUAAAGUCAGCAUAGCUAUUCUGUCCAGUGUAUGGAUUUUUUACACCCUUGAGCACUGUAGUUAUGUCAAUCUAAGUUUUAAGUGUAGACUGGGCCUCCAUCUACAGGGCAGCAGCAGGGCAAGCUUCCCCCACACAGUGUCCUGAAAGGCCCUUAAAGUUCUUGGCCUCUCUACUGAGUCUGCAGUUAGACAUGUGACAUCUGGUGGAAGGAAGUUAUAUGUGCUACAAUCAAAAAAUGAUAGUGUGAUCCCAGGGCCUGUGAAACAAUCCAAGUACUGUAGGUAGUGGAAGGACAUUUUCACUUUAACUCACUCACUAAUGGAGCAUUUUAUAAUUAAAAUUUUGAACUACUGAAAAAAAUUAAUCUGGUUUAUGCAGUAUGGACAUAAAACAGCAUACUAGGUGAUACCCUAGUAUUAGUUGGUCAAGUAUUUUGUGUAGACAGACACUGAAUGUUAGCACUGUUAGAAUGCUUUUUGUCUCAGUUCAGCUGAACAGUUCUUUCCCUUUAGGACCCUUAACAGAUAAUGUAUAUUAUUUUCCAUGUAACUUGUUUUAAGUGAAUUUAUUGCAGGUUAAAUGAUUCCAUUUUAGACCUGGAAACCAGGAUCCUCUCUUUAUCCACAGAGGGGAUACAGCACUAUGAAUCCCCAUAUUGCCCUAUCAGGUUGCCUCAGUAGUUGGCCUGGAGAAGGGACUACUCCUUGAUUGAGAGGGAAUUUCAGUCUCUGUGGCCAUUCAAUCUUUGGCCUCUUCUUCACCAUUCAUUUCUUACAGCCCUCUGAACAGCAAUCAUGUGGAAAUGACUGGGCUAUUAUUGAGGUGAUGGUAUGAGCUUCCAUAGUCCAUUUCCAUUCUAAUAAGGCCUCCAGCUUAAUGACAAAGAAUCUGGGUCCAAUUUUAUUUUUUCUUUACAUCAUCUUGUUCAGUAAGCUCUCCACUGACCAAGCAUUCCAGAAAAUGUAAAUCUAGACUUUGUAAUUCAGGAAUGGUAAUGCGGCUAGAAGUCUGUUAGUUUAAGGGAGCAUUUUUGCUUCUUUAAUCAUGUUUCUUUUUCUGGCUACAGCAGUUUUUCUCGCUCUAACCCAAGUGUUGGUAUACUCCUUUAGUAGCUUUAUUUCUGAAGAAUCUUGAAGAACUUUUUAAUAUAAAUUGGGUCUUCCUUGUGUAAGUGUAGAGAUAUAGGGAGCCAGGGCUGUAUAAAUCCAAUCCCGUCUUCCCCGUCUACUUUAGACAGUAAGCUAAUCACACAGUUUUGACUCUGACCUGAUCUCCAUCCUGUAUUUCUGUACGUGCCCCCAUCUGUCACCUUCUUAUUGCAUGAAAAGUUUUAGCCUGACUCUGUAACUAAAGUCUGCAUGCAGCCUCCAUUUCAUAUGCUCUACCCUGGUUUCUGGUUUCAUUACAACCCAUGUAAUUAAGUAGACCUUGUAGAAUCAAUCCCAGCAGCUGUACAGUGCACACUGUUCCUUUUGUUGUCAGCUUUAUUGUGACUACACAUUGAAGCUUGGCUGUAGAAAGACUGGAUGCCUGGGGGUACGUGGCCACUUGUGUCAUGUUCUGGCGCCUGCCAUUUGCAAUUUAAAGACAUCGGAAGUUCUCAGUCUCCAUUAUUCCCUUAACAUCUAAGUUUAAGUUUUUAUUGACAUAGUUGGACUCUGACCUCAUGGAGCAAUGUUCCUGUGGUGCCUGAUGGUGGAUUUUAAGCUGGUCCUGUUGGUUUUUAAGGCCCUGGCUGUAUGCGAAACCUCAUCCCCUGCCUGGCUAGUAUUUGGCCUCUGUGCACAUCUGCUGCCUCGGUUUCCCCUCUCAGCAGUCAUCCAGGACUUUUAGGUUAUUGCAGUGACUCACCCCUCUGACUAAGUCACAAUAGUUCACUUCUUCCAAAGUUAAAGUCCAAAAGGAAACAAAAUCAUUCUUCUGCCCCCGACUCUCGCCAGGCACAAGUCUUCUGAGUGUCUUUCUUCUCCCUCAACAGUUUUUAGCUUUUCUCUUUGGUUCAGCGGCCAACCUUCCUGGGCUUCAAACUCUCCCAUCUUCUCCCUUAUUGACAAGGGUGUAUGCACCACUCCAUAGAGUGGCAGCAUUGGAGCACCCAUAUCCUCCCUCUUCUACCAGUCUCCAGCCUUGAGAUCCCAAACAGGUGAACUCUGCCCUGUAACCCAAACUGCCCUGACUUUUCUUCCCAGAACCUCUUCCUGUGUGCUCAGCCUGGCCUCCUUGCUGGCCCUUUCCCGGCUGGUCUUCUGCUCUCUCAUGGAGCACACCCUUCCUUGGAGUCUCUCUCCUGACUGACCACAGGCUGCCCAUGUCUCCCAGCAGGUCUCUUAGUCACAUGUGCUCCUCUUAUUAAUUUCCACAUCUUGGGGAGGUGAGCUAAGCCUGUCAUAGAUAAGGCUGAGCUGUAACCCAGAUGAAAGAACCAGUUCACCCUCUAACAGGCUCUGACAACACCCGCUCUCUCGCCAUUCUGCUGUUGAGUUGGUGUUUGUGCUUUACUUUUAGGAGCUUUAGGGCUUGGAACUUGCUCAUCUCCCUCAGUUUCUCACGCUUCUAAAAGAGCACCUAGGAAAUGUGUUUCCAGAGGAGUUUUGUGGGUUUUUUUUUUUACUGUGUCUGCCCUGAAUAGGACCCUUUUAAUUAGGCUGCAUUGUUGGGCCUGCCGCGUGUGGACCCGCGGUAAGUUCGAACUAAGAUACUUCUACUUCAGCUAUGUUAUUCACGUAGCUGAAGUUGCGUAUCUUAGUUUGAAGUGGGGGGUUAGUGUGGACCAGCCCUAAGAGUGGUUUUCUACAUAAUGUGCGCACUCUGUUGCACCUUCCCUUACUCUGACAAGGCCCCGUAUACGACCAUGCGGUAGUGCCCUCACUUUUUCUUUUGUCAAGUUGCUGCAAAAAUCCCUUUGUGUCACAUAAAUAGCUGACGUGGGGGCUUGGUAGAGAGGAGACAAGGUAUCAGCUGAGGAGGCUGGCAGCAGGGGGAGGCUUUUGGAGCAAGAGCUUGGCUCAGAUGCCUUCCCCAGCUGUGAGGAUUUUAAGGGUCCCAGGAAAUGGAGCUCCCUCUGUAAACCCUGAGUGCUCCCAAAGGGGGGGAGGUGAGACGGGACAGCGAGGGAGGGGAGCUAUGCCGCUGAGGGUGUGGCUCCCACAUAUUAUGCCUAGACUAUGGAUUUGUCUUCACUGCAGACUUAACUCAGGCUCAGUUGCUGGGUUUUCCCUUAACAUGCUCCAUGCUGACACAUCCACAUGGGUCACUCUAUCAGUGCUUCACGAUGAGGUAGCCACCCACUCCUUGAGCUAUAGUGCAGACCCCAAAGUAGCUGUUAAUGUGUACUGCUCCCCCGAGGUAGCUGCAGUGAAGACAUACAGCCUUGGGAAGUCGCAACAAUUGAGACAUGGUGGUUUCCGAUCCCUUCCCAUAAACCCAUUAACCAGAGUGGUGGAUUAUCAAUCUGCCUCUGCUCAGCUCCUCCUUCCACUCUGCUCAGCUUCCUGCUUGCAGUUUCUCCAGCUUCACCCUUCUCCAGUGCUUGCUACAGCAGAACAAUGCCUCCUAACAACGCUGUAUCUCAGCGUGCAGCUACACGAACAUAUGUGAAUCUUGGUGCAGCUUUGGGCUGGACCUUGGGACAUGUGCUCAGAUAGCUGUAUUCCUUGUCAUCACCAGAUACAGCAAUAGAGCCGAUGAGGGGCAUGGCAGCACAGUCUGGGGUCAUGCUAUAGCGAGUUAGGCUAUCACAAUAGCCUAACUGACCCUGUGAUCGUUAUCCUCAUGCUUAGCAUGCGGUGAAGGCAGAUGCUGUGCUCCGAUGGUAGUAGGAGCUCCACAGGGCAACCCCCUUCUUCUAUGAACUUUCCUUUGCCUGGGUUUCAGAUUAACUGCUGCCAACCCCCUCCUGGAGCCUUUUCCCACCCAGGUAUGACUCAUCAGAAAUAUCCCACUACUUAUUCCUGGCUGCUGCCACAUGUCCCCAGGAAAGAUGGGAACAGGAAGCAUACAGCUGGUUUAUGGCAGCAGGCUAGGGAGGGGAAAUUGCUUGGUCUCUUUAGGGAAAGGAGGCUUGUAGGAGGGAUUCUCUGCUGUGUUGGGCCUUGGUGUAUACUUGAGCUCUAAUGUGUUGCACAGUACAAAAGGUCUUGCUUAUUCUACUGAUUAAAACACUAUGUUUGAGCUAGGUAUUAUCAUCAUCACUUGCCAUUUCCAGUACUUUUGUUCUUGAAUACGGAACAGAUCAUAUUGCUGCUGUUACAGAGAGGGAUGGAUUUACCCCAAAAAAAUCCUUUACAUUUUUAUUUUCUUCUCAGAAAGUUUUGAGCUGCCUCUGUGUAUUCUUCAUAACGCAUAUGCAAAUAUUCAUUGGGAAGUGAUACCACCACUUUGGACAGUCAAGAUUUUCUAUGUAAGAACUGAAUAUGUUUCCUAUACUGCCAAGAAUGUAUAUAUACGAAGACAUAAGAUUGUAACUUUUGAGCAAGUCACUUUCUUUAACCAUUUGAAAUUUUCUGUUUCUGAAGUUCUCUAUUAAUAUAUUAGACACUUGUCUUAUACUGUGUACUUCUUUGUAUCAGCUGUAUACUAUCCUUUCUCUCAUUAAAACCUGUUCUUCCUCA